CCUACGGGAGGCAGCAGUGAGGAAUAUUGGUCAAUGGGCGAGAGCCUGAACCAGCCAAGUCGCGUGAGGGAGUACUGCCCUAUGGGUUGUAAACCUCUUUUGUCGGGGAGCAAAAGCCGGACGUGUCCGGCUGUGAGAGUACCCGAAGAAAAAGCAUCGGCUAACUCCGUGCCAGCAGCCGCGGUAAUACGGAGGAAGCGAGCGUUAUCCGGAUUUAUUGGGUUUAAAGGGUGCGCAGGCGGAUUUUUAAGUCAGCGGUAAAAUCGUGGGGCUCAACCCCAUCCAGCCGUUGAAACUGGGGAUCUAGAGUGUGCGAGAGGUAUGCGGAAUGCGUGGUGUAGCGGUGAAAUGCAUAGAUAUCACGCAGAACCCCGAUUGCGAAGGCAGCAUACCGGUGCACAACUGACGCUCAGGCACGAAAGCGUGGGUAUCGAACAGGAUUAGAUACCCGAGUAGUC
rnacentral:rRNA from 1 species